UCUUUCCAUCUCUGUGUCGGUCUUUCUGUGUCACUUACCUCCCUUUGGAUGUCUUUGCCUCUCCCAUGGGUGCCCUGCUUCUCCCAUCCCUGCCCGGCCCUGGUCUCCGUCUGUAUGUCAGGUACAAGUUACUGAACCAGGAGGAGGGCGAGUAUUACAAUGUACCGGUGGCCGAUGCUGACAACUGCAGCCUCCUCCAGAAGUUUGAGGUACCCUGACUGACUGACUGGCUUCCCCCAGGGGAGCCCAGCCCAGCCUCCCCAACUUCAGAGCUGGCUUUUGCCCUCUAUCCCUGGUAAACCACUGGUACUGGGACUACAAUUCCCAGAAGACUCCAGGACUCCUUCCUCAACACUUAGGGGUCUAAGCCACAGGGUCUCAUGGGAAUUGUAGUUUUCAAUCCCCAUAGCUUUGGGGUGUUAAGGACCC
rnacentral:lncRNA from 1 species